UACGGGGGGGGCAAGCGUUGUUCGGAAUUACUGGGCGUAAAGGGCUCGUAGGCGGCCAACUAAGUCAGACGUGAAAUCCCUCGGCUUAACCGGGGAACUGCGUCUGAUACUGGAUGGCUUGAGUGUGGGAGAGGAAUGCGGAAUUCCAGGUGUAGCGGUGAAAUGCGUAGAUAUCUGGAGGAACACCGGUGGCGAAGGCGGCAUUCUGGACCAUUACUGACGCUGAGGAGCGAAAGCCAGGGGAGCAAACAGGG
rnacentral:rRNA from 1 species